rnacentral:rRNA from 1 species
GAUCCUGGCUCAGGAUGAACGCUGGCGGCAUGCCUAAGAUAUGCAAGUCGAGCGAUUCUACUCGAACCUCUCGUAGGAUUGAGUAGAAAGCGGCGGACGGCUGAGUAAUACAUAGGAAUCUCCCCCUUUCUGGGAAAUAGUAUCGAGAAAUCGAUAAUAAUGUCCCAUGGUCCCCACCUUCUGGUUGGGUAAAGGACGUAACUGUUCGGAAAGGGAUGAGCUUAUGGCCUAUCAGGUAGUUGGUGAGGUAAAGGCUCACCAAGCCGAUGACGGGUAGCUGGCUUUAGUGAGUGGUCAGCCAGAGGGGGACUGAGACACGGCCCCCACUCCUACGGGAGGCAGCAAUUAGGAAUAGUCGGCAAUGGGCGAAAGCCUGACCGCGCAAUGCCGCGUGUAGGAAGAAGUUCGAAAGAAUGUAAACUACUGUGGUAGGGGAAGAAGCCCCUCUCUUGACGGUACCCUACUAGAAAGGAGCCGCUAACUUCGUGCCAGAAGCGUCGGUAAUACGGGGGCUCCAAGCGUUAUCCGGUGUUAUUGGGCGUAAAGAGUCGUGUAGGUGGUUGGGUAAGUUAUCUUUCAAAUAUCUUUGCUUAACAAAGAGGAGGGGGAUAAUACUGCUCGACUAGAAUUUUCUCAAGGGAGAUCGGAACUGAGGGAGGAGUAGUGAAAUGCGUUGAUACCCUCGGGAACACCAGUGGCGUAGGCGGAUCUCUGGGAGAAGAUUGACACUGAGACACGAAAGCUAGGGGAGCGAAGCAGAUUAGAGACCUGCGUAGUCCUAGCCGUAAACGCAUGCUUGCUAGCUGCAUGAAUCUACCUUCGGGUGGUAUCGUGUGGCGAAGGUAACCCGUUAAGCAAGCCGCCUGGAAAGUACGGCCGCAAGGCUGAAAUUCAAAGGAAUUGGCGGGGAGGCACACAACCAGUGGAACAUGUGGUUUAGUUCGAGACUAACCGAAGAACCUCACCAGGGUUUGACAUGUAGCUGCACGUCUUAAGAAAUUAAGACUCUCUUGAAGGUGCUACACAGGUGCUGCAUGGCUGUCGUCAGCUCGUUCCGUGAGGAGUGCCCUUAAGUGGGACAACGAGCGCAACCCCUAUUACAUGUUAGAAAUGUCAUGUAAGACUGCCUUGCCAUUUGGCGGGGAGGAAGGAGGGGCAGACGUCAAGUCCGCAUGGUCCUUAUGCCCUGGGCUACACACAUGUUACAAUGAGUACGGCAAUGAGUCUGUCGCGAGCACGUAAGUGUAAGCUAAUCUCUUAAAUGUACUCUCAGUGGGGAUUGAGGUCUGCAACUCGACCUCAUGAACACGGAAUUGGUAGUAAUCGCGGGUCAGCUAUACCGCGGUGAAUACGUUCUUGCCUCUUGCA